UACGUAGGGGGCUAGCGUUGUCCGGAAUCAUUGGGCGUAAAGCGCGCGUAGGCGGUCAGGUAAGUCCGGUGUGAAAGUCAAAGGCUCAACCUUUGAAUGCCGCUGGAAACUGCCUGACUUGAGUCCGGUAGGGGCGAGUGGAAUUCCUGGUGUAGCGGUGAAAUGCGCAGAUAUCAGGAGGAACACCAAUGGCGAAGGCAGCUCGCUGGGACGACACUGACGCUGGAGACGCGAAAGCGUGGGGAGCGAACAGG
rnacentral:rRNA from 1 species